rnacentral:misc_RNA from 1 species
GAAAUGCGAUAAGUAGUGUGAAUUGCAGAAUUCAGUGAAUCAUCGAAUCUUUGAACGCACAUUGCGCCCCUUGGUAUUCCAUGGAGCAUGCCUGUUCGAGCGUCAUCUACACCCUCAAGCUCUGCUUGGUGUUGGGCGUCUUUGUCCCGCCUCCGCGCGCGGACUCGCCCCAAAUUCAUUGGCAGCGGUCCUUGCCUCCUCUCGCGCAGCACAUUGCGCUUCUCGAGGUGUUGCGGCCCGCGUCCAGAAAGCAAUCGUUACCGUCUUUGACCUCGGAUCAGGUAGGGAUACCCGCUGAACUUAAGC